rnacentral:rRNA from 1 species
UCAGACGUAAUCUGCCGCAAAAAUGUUGCGGUCUCCGCAAAAUUGGAUAACUUGGCGAAACGCCAAGCUAAUACAUGAAUUAAUGGACGCGUUUCUGUUCCGGCGGUGGGGAAACUCGCCGCCUUGGCGCGUCCGGCGAAUGAAUGAAAGUAAAACCAACGCCUUCACCGGCAGUAACACUUAGAAGUGCUGACUCAAUUCAUUCCGUGCGAAAGCUGGGUUUUUAACCUGGCGUCUUUUGACGAACAACUGCCCUAUCAGCCAGCGAUGGCCGUGUAGUGGACUGCCAUGGCGUUGACGGGAGCGGGGGAUUAGGGUUCGAUUCCGGAGAGGGAGCCUGAGAAAUAGCUACCACUUCUACGGAGGGCAGCAGGCGCGCAAAUUGCCCAAUGUCAAAAAAAAACGAUGAGGCAGCGAAAAGAAAUAGAGCCGAGAGCGCCUUUGGCGUUGUCGUUUUCAAUGGGGGAUAUUUAAACCCAUCCAAAAUCGAGUAACAAUUGGAGGACAAGUCUGGUGCCAGCACCCGCGGUAAUUCCAGCUCCAAAAGCGUAUAUUAAUGCUGUUGCUGUUAAAGGGUUCGUAGUUGAACUGUGGGCCUUUGAGGCGCAUUGGUUUUGUCCCAUCCACUUCGGAUCGGUGACCCAUGCCCUUGAGGUCCGUGAACACACAGAACCAAGAAACACGGGAGUGGUACCUUUUCCUGAUUUUCGCAUGUCAUGCAUGCCAGGGGGCGCCCGUGAUUUUUUACUGUGACUAAAAAAGUGUGACCAAAGCAGUCAGUCGACUUGAAUUA